GACGUAGGGUGCGAGCGUUGUCCGGAUUUAUUGGGCGUAAAGAGCUCGUAGGCGGCUCGUCGCGUCGACCGUGAAAACCCGCAGCUUAACGGUGGGCUUGCGGUCGAUACGGGCGGGCUAGAGUUCGGUAGGGGAGACUGGAAUUCCUGGUGUAGCGGUGAAAUGCGUAGAUAUCUGGAGGAACACCGGUGGCGAAGGCGGCGUUCUGGACUGUUACUGACACUGAGGAACGAAAGCCAGGGGAGCAAACGGG
rnacentral:rRNA from 1 species